rnacentral:lncRNA from 1 species
GGUAAAGGUUCAUGUUCAUCUCUGUUGUUUUGUUAUUCUGGAUCUAGAGACAAAAGUACAAACAAGAACCUGGAACAGAGUUUGGCUUCUGUCUUAUUAUGGAUUAGAUUCUAUUAACCUUGACAAAACCAGAAGGAUUAGGUCAACAUUUAGAUUGUCAAAGUUGACUGGAUAAAAGGUUUAUUUUAUUUUUAGAGACAGAGUCUUGUUCUGUUGCCCAGACUGGAGUACAGUGGUGUGAUCAUUGUUCACUGCAGCCUCAAACUCCUGGCCUCAAGUGAUCCUCCUGCCUUGGCCUCCCAAAGUGCUAGGAUUAGAGGCGUGAGCCACCACGACUGGCCCUAGAGAUUAUAAUUAUGAAAGAAUGUAGGUUUAAAAAAUUCAACCUAAUAUAUUAUUUGGUUAACUACAAACAGAGAUUUAUGGCAUAUAAUCAUUUGCUAAGGGAAAAACUAAAACAAUGUUUGUUUUGAGACAGGGUAUUUCUCUGUUACCCAGGUUGGAGUGCAGUGGUGUGAUCUUGGCUCAGUGUAGCCUCCACCUGCUGGGCUCAAGCUAGAACUACAGGUGCAUGCCACAAUGCCUGGCUAAUUUUUAAAUUUUUUUAGAGACAGGGUCUCUUUAUAUUGCCCAGACUGGUCUUGAACUCCUGGGCUCAAGCUAUUCUCCAGCCUUGGUCUCCCAAAGUGCUAUGAUUACAGGCAUGAGCCACUGUGCCUAGCCUGUAACAAUGUUUUUGAGGUAGCUCUAAAGUGAAAGGCAGAAUAUCUGUUGUUACAUAUGACAAAAAAUAGUCAAUUGACAUGUAUCUUGUGCACACAGGACUACAGAAGAAAUUCUGCUCAUAUGAGAAAGAAACAUUGAUCAAUUUUCUAAUUAACAAAUACUGUAUUCAAUCUCUUGUCUACCCAAAUAACUUAGCCAAGGAUAAGUUCUAAUCAGACUCUAUGAACUGAGAAUUACAAAUCAACUGAAGAAAGUAACAUCACUUUUUUUAUUUGAUUCAAACCCAUUUUCAUAUACAAAGCUAAUUUAUUAUGUACAAAAUAAAUGGACAUUCUUAAAAAGUAUUAGAAUACAAAUUUCCAAGGGCCUAAAAUAAGUGCAAAAUUUUCAAUUAUCUUUAAUCAUGCUAUACAGAAACAAAUCAAGUAUUAGCUCAUAUACACACAAUGAAUUUUUUAAAAAUAGCACUUAAUGUAAUAAAACAAAACAUACAUCUUAUAUAUUUAAUUUUAAAAGGAUGAGGAAGGAAAGAAUGUAUUGCACCAAACUAACAGUAACUUAACUACAAUGAGAAUAAUCAAAAUUAUUUAUACAUCUUUAUUAAAAAUUGCUCAGCUUUAAAAUGUUUUUGGGGGGCAUACAAAUAUCCACUGAGUCACAGUUUGCACAGUCAAUAAUUAGAUAUAAAUAAGGCAUAAUAUUUUCUUUUUCAUGGUCAAUUCCAGUAGAAUAAGUGAGAAGGAACAUUUUAAGAUAAAUACACAACUUUCUGAAUUCCUUCAAUAUUUAAGUAGCAGCACAAUUUCCAAGUACUUUCAAAAAACAAGUCAUUCUGAAUUUUUAGUUAUUACGCUCUGAAUUGACUAUGUGCAUAUACAUGCAUUCAAGUCACUGUCACUCUCUAUAACACUGAAAUGCUAUUGGAGUCCCAGAAAAACUGACAAAAGAGAUGAAUUAAAUAUGUUUCAUAUUUUUAUGCCUCAGUAGAUUCAUUUUUAUAGCAAUGAAUCUGAGAGAAAUGGCUAUCUAGCCAGAUAUGAUUACUUUUUGCUAUAUUUUUUGCUCCAAGUCUAUAAAAGCAAACAACUGGAGGAAUGAAAGCCAUACCUGUUAAGAGUUUCUAAAUGGAACCAACCAGCCACUAUUAAAUGAGAUUUUUAUACAGAAGAAAAUCACGUAACUCCUAUACUCUAGGAUGGCCUUACAUUUCUUAACACAGAAAACUGAAUUAUUUCCUAUUUGGAAUUAAACAUCUUAAAUGUUAAUGCGUUCUUCUCUGUUAUACCUAUAAAAAAUUAAAGAUUAUUUCCAUACAGAGGCUGUACCUGCAAAAGUCAUUGGAAGUAGUAGAUAAUUUACCCAAUGCUUUUUAAUUAGGAAAAUUCUAUUGAUUACAAGCUUCAAGGCUCUAAGAGAUCUACUUUUAUGUUUUAAAUUUAGCAUGUUAGUCAUGUUUUUUUCUUCUUUAAAAUGUUGCCUAAUUCAAGUUUGCAAAACGUUCACUGAAAGUCACCAGGAACUAAUAUUAGCAAACAGAUGUACUUUUCUGGAGGCAAAUAUUAGUUAUAAUUUUCAAAUGUGAACAGUCUAAAGAGAGUUCAUGAUAAAAAUAACUCAAUUGAAAGGAGAUUUUGUUGUUUUUGUGGCAGGCAAAACAAAGAUAAUAAAGCCAUUCCAAGCAAAUUUUAGACAAAAUGUCCCUCAGGAUAAUGAUUAAGCCUAUUUUCAAAUAAGUCUGAAUAUUGGAUCUGGUAUAUAAAGAUAAAUGGACAAAUUUCUAUGCAGAAAAAUUUUUAGGAUAUAACAUAAUAAUCCUCAGACAUAAUUUUUUAAUACCAAGAAUAUCAAGCAAAGAGAUUCAUGAAGUCCAAAGCAGUGCCUACAUAUCUGUAUAUUUAUAAACUCCACAGAGAAGUCUGAUCUGUAAUAUCCAUUAAGAACCACUGGCCUAGAAACUGCCAGAUUUAAAUUUAAAAAAAUGUAUUUUUGGAGACAGGGUCUAACUCUGCCACCUAGGCUGAAGUGCAGUGGUGCAAUCACAGCUUACUGCAGCCUUGAUCUCUAGGCUCAAGCAAACCCCUUGCCUCAGCCUCCCGAGCAGCUAGGACUACAGGCGCUUGCCAGCACACAAGGCUAAUUUUUUAAUGUCUUGUAGAGGUGGAGCCCACUAUGCUGCCCAGGCUGGUCUUGAGCUCCUAGGCUCCAGUGAUCCUCCUGCCUCAGCCUCCUAAAGUGCUGAGAUUAUAGGCAUGAGCCACCAUGCUUGGCCUAGAUUUAAACUAAAGAAGGCAGGCUGUGGUCCACAUUUUAAAUCAUAUUAAAAUGAUGACUGAUAACACUAUAUUGUUGCCUAAGGUCAUCAAGAAAAAUACCACAUGACUCUGAUAAAUACAGGAAAACUCUAUAGAACAAUGCUCUGGAUGGAGUCAAGUUUAAAACAAAUAAUAUGUUGAGCAUAUACAAUAUACGAAUUCAGCAAAAAGAAUAUUGAGAAUGGAUUUUGUUAAAGAGUGAUGAAAAUGUUUAAGAUUGCUCACUUAUUGGGGAGAAACAGUUUCAGCUGAUGAGAGGAACAAUGCGUAGGAUAAGCCAUGAGUAUGGCUGAUGAUGCAAACAAACAAACAAAAAGGAAACAAACAAACAUGUUUCAUUUCUUAUAUCCCAGUCAAAAACUGUAUCCUAAAGAUAGGUUCAAGAACCUGUUUCCAGAAGACAGGUUUAAAUAUACAUAUUUGAAAAGACCAAUCUUUACACACACAUAACCCCAACAGACACCCAUAUUACAUAUAUUAUUUAAUAAUAUAAUAUUUAUAUUUAAUAUAGUCCUAGGACUUGCAUCUUUUCAGUGGAAAGGUGGUAAAGAUAAUGCUACUCAUUUUAUAAAUAUAUAAAAGGAGCUAACUUCCUUAAGUUCAAUUACAAGAUUUCCUCAGUGGUCUCUUUAGUAGUAACAAUAUAAAAUAUACAUAAAGGCAAAGGUCAUAUCUCUAUCAUCAUUAAAUAAAAAUCUGGUAUCCAAGUUAACAGUUUCCCCUGACCACUCCUUUUCACACAAAAUAUAAAAUGUCUUAAGAUUCAACCGUCAAAUCUGAAUUCUAAUUCUGAGAGCCCACUUAUUCUUUUCAGAAGCAUAAACUUGAUUUUCAAUACAAGUACUCUGAAGGAUAAUUUUAAUAUGCCCUAAAUAGAGAAAAAAAAGAAACCUCAUUGGUGUUCCUUGCUAAUGACAGAAUGAACACUUGGUAUUUUUUCUUCUACAAAAGGAUGCACUGCACUGUGACCUAAACAAAGUUAACAGAUUUUAAUUUUGUUAUUAACUUAAUAACAGACGUGAGCUUCACAGGCUAAAAAGAAAGACUAAACCAACUUGCCAAACUUCAUUUUUAUAUACUUUCCUGAUUUUUAUGCCCUGAUCUAUUUUUCUUUCUCUCUUACAAUUUUAUCUGAGUAAUGCCAGAAUACUGAUUGCAAACAGUUGUAAAAAAAUUUUAUAAAGGUUCUUUAUUCUCUAAGCGUGCACAGCUAUUACAUGUUUUAAUACUUGAUCUCAUUUUCCAAAAGUAAAAUAAUUAUCUUGGUAUAAAUCUCUUCCUAUCACCAGGAUGCUGAGAUUUUUAUUUUUGUCAUCACCAGUAUCAAGAAACAAAAGCAUACAAAAAGUUUUGCAAAGAUAACAGACUUUUUUUUUUUUUGAGAUGGAGUCUUGCCCUGUUGCCCAGGCUGGAGUGCAGUGGUGCGAUUUUGGCUCACUGCAACCUCUGCCUCCUGGGUUCAAGCGAUUCUCCUGCCUCAGCCUCCUGAGUAGCUGGGACUACAGGCACCUGCCACCAUGCCCAGCAAAUUUUUGUAUUUUUAGUAGAGACAGGGUUUCACCAUGUUGGCCAGGCUGGUCUUGAACUCCUGACCUUGUGAUCCGCCCACCUCGGCCUCCCAAAGAGCUGGGAUUAUAGGCGUGAGCCACCACAAUUGGCCAGGUAACAGACUUUGUAAGAGCCAACUUGAGAUACUAUAUUCACCAAUUGAAAUGUCCACCUGUUAUUUCAUUCCAAUGAUACUGUUCAUUUCUCCCAUUAUAUAAUAUAUAACUAAUUUCUAUGGGUAACAUCUAAAUAUACCAGAAUUCUCAAAAGUACUUCUUUCCAAUUAUUUUAUCUAGUGAUUUUUAAUUCAGUAGGCUAUACUCUUUAAAUGAGUAAUAUAUUAUUCACUAAUAGUUGUUUGCUUCUUUUAACAGAUAAAAUUUAAGUUCCAUUCUCUAGACUGUUGCUAGUAUUCUCAAAGAUUUUUCUCUAAAUUCCAUAUUUUUUUUCUUUUCUUUGAGACAAAGUCUCACUCUGUUGCCCAAGCUGGAGUGCAGUAGCGUGAUCUCAGGUCACUGCAACCUCCACCUCCCGGGUUU